AACCCAUGUUGAGGACAUUUCUGUAGGAGCUCCUUGAACCUGUUCCAUGUCUCAAAAAAAGACUCCAAAUCUGUUUCACAAAAGAUGAUAUUUCAUUCUUGUGCUU